rnacentral:rRNA from 1 species
GACGAACGCUGGCGGCGUGCUUAACACAUGCAAGUCGAACGGAAAGGCCCUGCUUUUGUGGGGUUCUCGAGUGGCGAACGGGUGAGUAACACGUGAGUAACCUGCCCUUGACUUUGGGAUAACUUCAGGAAACUGGGGCUAAUACCGGAUAGGAGCUCCUGCUGCAUGGUGGGGGUUGGAAAGUUUCGGCGGUUGGGGAUGGACUCGCGGCUUAUCAGCUUGUUGGUGGGGUAGUUGCUUGCCAAGGCUUUGACGGGUAGCCGGCCUGAGAGGGUGACCGGCCACAUUGGGACUGAGAUACGGCCCAGACUCCUACGGGAGGCAGCAGUGGGGAAUAUUGUACAAUGGGCGGAAGCCUGAUGCAGCAACGCCGCGUGUGGGAUGACGGCCUUCGGGUUGUGAACCGCUUUCGCCUGUGACGAAGCGUGAGUGACGGUAAUGGGUAAAGAAGCACCGGCUAACUACGUG